CCUACGAGAGUCUGCAGUGAGGCAUAUUGGUCAAUGGACGGGAGCCUGAACCAGCCAUGUCGCGUGAAGGAUGACUGCCCUAUGAGUUGUAAACUUCUUUUAUAAAAGAAUAAACUGAGACACGUGUGCCUUUCUGACUGUCCUUUAUGAAUAAGGAUCGGCUAACUCCGUGCCAGCAGCCGCGGUAAUACGGAGGAUCCGAGCGUUAUCCGGAUUUAUUGGGUUUAAAGGGUGCGUAGGUGGGUUGUUAAGUUAGUUGUGAAAUGUCGCGGCUUAACUGUGAAAUUGCAAGUAAUACUGGUAGUCUUGAGGACAGAUGAGGUAGGCGGAAUGUGUGGUGUAGCGGUGAAAUGCUUAGAGAUCAUGAAGAACACCGAUUGCGAAGGCAGCUUACCAAUCUGUCACUGACAUUGAUGCUCGAAAGCGUGGGGAUCAAACAGGAUUAGAUACCCUGGUAGUC
rnacentral:rRNA from 1 species